rnacentral:rRNA from 1 species
GAUGAACGCUGGCGGCGUGCCUAACACAUGCAAGUCGAACGGAAAGGCGCUGCUCUUGUGGGGUGCUCGAGAGGCGAACGCGUGAGUAUCACGUGUGUAACCUGUCCCUGUCUUUGGGAUAACUUUAGGAAACUGGGGCUCAUAUAGGAUAGGAGCUCCUGCUGCACGGUGGGGGAUGGAGAGUUUCGGUGGUUGUGGCUCGACUCGCGGCUUCUCAGCUUGUUGGUGGGGUAGUGGCUUACCAAGGCUUUGACGGGUAGCCGGCCUGAGAGGGUGACCGGCCACAAUGGGACUGAGAGACGGCCCAGACGCCUACGGGACGCAGCAGUGGGGAGUAUUGCGCAAUGGGGGGAAGCCUGAGGCAACAACGCCGCGUGCGUGAUGACGGCCUUCGGGUUGUAAACCACUUUCGCCGGUAACGAAGCGUGAGUGACGGUAAUUGGUAAAAAAGCACCGGCUAACUACGUG